UCGAGAAUCUUCGGCAAUGGGCGAAAGCCUGACCGAGCGAUGCCGCGUGCGGGAUGAAGGCCCUCGGGUUGUAAACCGCUGUCAGUUGGGAGGAAGGGCUCGUGAAGAGCGAGUCUUGACCUAUCUUCAGAGGAAGUCCGGGCUAAGUUCGUGCCAGCAGCCGCGGUAACACGAACCGGACAAACGUUAUUCGGAAUUAUUGGGCUUAAAGGGUGCGUAGGCGGUGCUGUAAGUCGGGUGUGAAAUCCCACGGCUCAACCGUGGAACUGCGCCCGAUACUGCAGUGCUAGAGGGAGACAGAGGUAAGCGGAACUGAUGGUGGAGCGGUGAAAUGCGUUGAUAUCAUCAGGAACACCAGUGGCGAAAGCGGCUUACUGGGUCUCUUCUGACGCUGAGGCACGAAAGCUAGGGUAGCGAACGGGAUUAGAUACCCCCGUAGUCC
rnacentral:rRNA from 1 species